CCCGGGGCUUGGCGUGUAGAGGCUUUGGGGAGCUGGGGCAGGAGGCCCCAGCUGAGAGGACCGGCUUCCUAACGGGUAAAUCAGAAGUGACCAGAUCUCUCUAAACCUUUCCCUGAAACAAUGCAAAGAGAAACACUGAAAGAUGCUGCUGAGCUGGGUGUGGGAGACUGGAACAUGCCAUCCUCUGCCCAGGACCUGCUGAACAUGGAGGGCUAACCGGCUGCUAACCUGCUCUACUUGCCUGAUUUCUUCUUAUUUGAAUGAUCCACCUUUUCCUAUAGUGAUCACCGUGAAUCACUUGAAAAUGAAUAUGCCAAG